GAAGGUACAGCUCAAGUGGUAGAGCCUGAGCUUAGCAUGCGCAAGGUCCUGGGUUCAAUCCCCAGUACCUCCU
rnacentral:tRNA from 1 species